rnacentral:rRNA from 1 species
GACGAACGCUGGCGGCGUGCUUAACACAUGCAAGUCGAACGGAAAGGCCUCUUUCGGGGGGUACUCGAGUGGCGAACGGGUGAGUAACACGAGGGUAACAUGCCCCUGACUUUGGGGUAACUUCAGGAAACUGGGGCUAAUACUGGAUAGGAGCUUCUGCUGCAGGGUGGGGGUUGGAAAGUUGCGGCGGUUGGGGCUGGACAUGCGGCGUAUCAGCUUGUUGGUGGGGUAGUGGCUUACCAAGGCUUUGACGGGUAGCCGGCCUGAGAGGGUGACCGGCCACAUGGGUCCUAAGAUAGGGCCCAGACGCCAACGGUAGGCAGUAGGGGGAAGUCUUACACAGCGGGUGGAAGCCUGUGGCAGAAACGCCGUGAUCGUAAGACUGCCUUCGUGGUGUAAACCGCUUGCGCUCAUGACUAAGCUUUGUGUGACGGUAGUGGGUAAAGAAGCACCGGCUAACUACGUG